UAAGACGAAGGUGGCGAGCGUUGUUCGGUGUUACUGGGCUUAAAGCGUGUGUGGGCGGAAAAGUAAGCGUCCUGUGAAAGCCCUCGGCUUAACCGGGGAAUUGCUUGACGAACUGCUUUUCUUGAGGCAAGCAGGGGUGCAUGGAACUCUUGGUGGAGCGGUGGAAUGCGUAGAUAUCAAGAGGAACGCCGAUGGAGAAAUCAGUGCACUGGGCUUGUCCUGACGCUGAGACACGAAAGCGUGGGGAGCGAACGGGAUUAGAUACCCCGGUAGUCCACGCCGUAAACGAUGUCUACUAGGUUGUGGUGGUUCUGACACCAGCACGGCCGAAGCAAAAGUGUUAAGUAGACCGCCUGGGGAGUACGGUCGCAAGGCUA
rnacentral:rRNA from 1 species